UACGAAGGGGGCUAGCGUUGUUCGGAAUUACUGGGCGUAAAGGGCGCGUAGGCGGCCUUCUAAGUCGAACGUGAAAUCCCUGGGCUCAACCCAGGAACUGCGUCCGAUACUGGAAGGCUUGAAUCCGGGAGAGGGAUGCGGAAUUCCAGGUGUAGCGGUGAAAUGACGUAGAGAGUCGGGUGGAACACCAGGGGCGAAGGCGGCAUCCUGGCUCUGUUCUGACGCUGAGGCGCGAGAGCGUGGGGAG
rnacentral:rRNA from 1 species